GCACGGGUGAGUAACGCGUAUGCACUUCCUGUAACUGGAGGAUAGCCCCUGGAAACGGGAUUAAUACUGCGUAUACCUAAAUACCGCAUGGUAUUAAGGUCAAAUCUACGGAGGUUACAGAUGGCAUGCGUGCCAUUACUAGAUGGUAAGGUAACGGCUUACCAUGGCAAUGACUGGCUAAGGGGUUCUGCAAGGAAGGCCCCCCACACUGGUACUGAGACACGGACCAGACUCCUACGGGAGGCAGCAGUGAGGAAUAUUGGUCAAUGGAGGCAACUCUGAACCAGCCAAGCCGCGUGAAGGAAGACUGUCCUAUGGAUUGUAAACUUCUUUUGUGGCAGAAUAAACUACCGUACUUGUACGGUAUUGCAUGUAUGCCAUGAAUAAGCAUCGGCUACUCCGUGCCAGCAGCCGCGGUAAUACGGAGGAUGCAGGCGUUAUCCGCGAUUUAUUAGGUUUAAAGGGUUGUUCCAGGCUGCCUGGUAAGUCAGGGGUGAAAGUCGGUCGCUCAACGAUCGAAUUGCCUUUGAAACUGUCAGGCUCGAGUAUGGAUGCGGUAGGCGGAAUGUGUAGUGUAGCGGUGAAAUGCAUAGAUAUUACACAGAACACCGAAUUGCGAAGGCAGCUUACCAAACCAGCACUGACGCUGAAGCACGAAAGCGUGGGGAGCGAACAGGAUUAGAUACCCUGGUAGUCCACGCCGUAAACUAUGAACACUCGCUGUUGGCAAUACACAGUCAGCGGCUGAGCGAAAGCGUUAAGUGUUCCACCUGGGAAGUACGAUCGCAAGGUUGAAACUCAAAGGAAUUGACGGGGGCCCGCACAAGCGGAGGAGCAUGUGGUUUAAUUCGAUGAUACGCGAGGAACCUUACCUGGACUUAAAUGUAUAUUGACGUACUGAGAAAUCAGUAUUUCUUCGGACAAUUUACAAGGUGCUGCAUGGUUGUCGUCAGCUCGUGCCGUGAGGUGUCGGGUUAAGUCCCAUAACGAGCGCAACCCCUACUUCUAGUUACCAGCAUUUCGGAUGGGGACUCUAGAGGAACUGCCUACGCAAGUAGAGAGGAAGGUGGGGAUGACGUCAAAUCAGCACGGCCCUUAUGUCCAGGGCUACACACGUGCUACAAUGGCCGGUACAGAGGGCAGCUACAUAGCAAUAUGAUGCUAAUCUCAAAAGCCGGUCUCAGUCCGGAUUGGAGUCUGCAACUCGACUCCAUGAAGCUGGAUUCGCUAGUAAUCGCACAUCAGCAAUGGUGCGGUGAUACGUUCCCGGGCCUUGUACACACCGCCCGUCAAGCCAUGGAAGUUGGGGGUACCUGAAGUCGAUUGCC
rnacentral:rRNA from 1 species